rnacentral:rRNA from 1 species
UACGGAGGAUGCGAGCGUUAUCCGGAUUUAUUGGGUUUAAAGGGUGCGUAGGCGGGACCAUAAGUCAGCGGUGAAAGUUUUCGGCUCAACCGGAAAAUUGCCGUUGAAACUGUGGUUCUUGAGUGCAGAAGAGGUAGGCGGAAUUCGUUGUGUAGCGGUGAAAUGCGUAGAUAUAACGAAGAACACCAAUUGCGUAGGCAGCUUACCAUACUGCAACUGACGCUGAGGCACGAAAGUGUGGGUAUCAAACAGGAUUAGAUACCCCUGUAGUCCCU